UCACUGUAGCCUGGAAGAAGUUACAGGCUGGCAGCGCAACCCCGUGCAACAGCUGGGUGGGGGUGAGGCGUGGCUGCUGGACAAGCCAGGGAGGGAAGUUAAUUGGCCUUGACAGGCGCCAGCAGUUAAGCGGCCCUUCUCACCUGCCUAUUGCUCUCCUUACUAACCUUUGCUCGGCCAGGAAUCUCCCCUUCCUCCUCUGCCUGUUCCAGCCCGUCCCAAGCAGCCAAGUCUGAACUCUUAGCUCAUGUCAACCCCCCUGAACUCUGAGCUGAGGCUCCAGCUUCCGCCCGCCCUGCCCUCCUCUGAGUUCACUCCCGAAGCCAUCUCUCCUCAGGAUUUUGGCGGGGGGAGGGUCUAACCUGUACCGCGGUGGGUUUGCUUUUAAGCCUAGGCAAGGUGAUUAAUGUGCAUGCUGUCGUGUCCGACUCUUUGCGACUCCAUGGACUGCAGCCUAUCAGGCUCCUCUGUCCUUGGGGUUCUCCAGGCAUGAAUACUGGAGUGGGUUGCCAUUUCCUUCUCCAGAGGAUCUUCCCGACCCAGGGAUCGAAACUGGGUCUCCUGCAUUGACAGGUGGAUUCUUUACCACUGCACCCCCCACCCCCCCAAAAAAAACACAACCUGAAUUUACCAGAUGCCCUAUCUCCGGCCAGUUACCAAGACAUGCCAACCACACCUGCUCCCACUCAUCCCUUCCCUUGCCCACCAGUGUCUCGGAGAGUCUACAGCAAUGAAACCCACCCAGAAGUCCUGCUCCAAUUGGUUUUCAUGACCAUGUGAUUGACCCUGAAUUGAAACACGAUAAUGGAAUGCUUCUAAAUACACAUUCUUCUUGGAAAAUGUAUGAAGUUUUUUUCUUAAUUUUUUUAAUGGAAUCAGAGGACUUGGUUCUUGGACAGACUGUUGGUGUGAGGGUUCCCGGUGCCACCCAGAGGGAACCCACCUGGUGGGAUGCCAGGCAGCGGGCUGGCCGCGGGGCGGCCCCGAGGCCUGCUUUGAGAGCGUGCCUGUAUCACCGGUGCAGGACAGCGCCCCCUCCCGGAGUGCAGCCUUCUCCAAACCUCCUGCCUCCUCCCCUCUGGCUAUAUGAGUCUGAGGAAGCCAUCCCCAAAGUUUUGAUGCUCCUUUUUUUCUAACUUUGUAUUUUGUAUUGGGGUAUAGCCAAUUAACAAAGAUGUGACAGCUUCAGGUGAGCAGUGAAGGGACUCAGCCAUGCAUAAACAUGCAGCCAUUCUCCCCCAAACUCCCCUCCCAUCCAGGCUGCCACAUAACAC
ensembl:lncRNA